CAAUCAUUCCCAAGGAGAAAGAUACUGGAAAAUGUGGUUUGAAGUGUAAAUUUAUAGAGCAGAGUCAUAACCGACAGUUAAUAUCUAAUGGUUUCAAUCAAAUUUAUAACAGAGCUGAGUUGGCAGCAAGCAUUCCUGGACCUGUCUCUCCAAUCACAGAGUACCCAGGGACACAGGCAUUUACACACGGACUCCGGGAGCUUGUGCAAUGUGAUACCAACUGCAGUUCUCUUCAUGAACAUAACCUCAGAACCGAAAGGCUUAUAGGUGGAAGAAACAUGUCUUGAGUCUCAGAUAAGACUUGCGGCUUUGGACUUUGAGUUCACACUGGAACCAAUUAAGACUUUGAGGAAGACUAUUAGGAAGGGAUGAUUGUAUUUUGCAUUGCGAGAAGGACAUGAGAUUUGGGGGACCAGAGGCAGAAU
rnacentral:lncRNA from 1 species